UACGUAGGGUGCGAGCGUUGUCCGGAUUUAUUGGGCGUAAAGGGCUCGUAGGCGGUCUGUCGCGUCGGAUGUGAAAGCCCAGGGCUUAACCCUGGGCCUGCUUCCGAUACGGGCAGACUAGAGGUAUGCAGGGGAGAACGGAAUUCCUGGUGUAGCGGUGAAAUGCGCAGAUAUCAGGAGGAACACCGGUGGCGAAGGCGGUUCUCUGGGCAUUACCUGACGCUGAGGAGCGAAAGUGUGGGGAGCGAACAGG
rnacentral:rRNA from 1 species